rnacentral:rRNA from 1 species
AUUGAACGCUGGCGGCAGGCCUAACACAUGCAAGUCGAACGAGUGGCGGACGGGUGAGUAAUGUCUGGGAAACUGCCUGAUGGAGGGGGAUAACUACUGGAAACGGUAGCUAAUACCUCAUACCAUCGGAUGUUCCCAGAUGGGAUUAGCUAGUAGGUGGGGUAACGGCUCACCUAGGCGACGAUCCCUAGCUGUUCUGAGAGGAUGACCAGCCACACUGGAACUGAGACACGGUCCAGACUCAUACGGGAGGCAGCAGGGGGGAAUAUUGCACAAUGGGCGCAAGCCAGAUGCAGCCAUGCCGCGUGUAUGAAGAAGGCCUUCGGGUUGUAAAGUACUUUCAGCGGGGAGGCGUUACCCGCAGAAGAAGCGACGGCUAACUCCGUGCCAGCAGACGCGAUAAUAC